CCGGGGCCGACUCCUCUUCCUCAGUUUCGUUCGGGGUUUGACGACAAGUUGCCAAAAAUGAAAAGAACGAAAAUCUAGACACAAAUGUGUAUGAGAUGAGAUCUCACAAAGACAUGUCAGGUGGACUUAGAAACAAAUAUGUAUUUAGAAAGAAAAAACAAAUAUAUAUAUACUGUUAUAGAUAUAUAGAUAUACAUCGAACCCCUGUAAACAAAUGCACUUCAGAGAGUGAGACGUAAGGGAGUGAGGAGAGUGUGUGAACGUAGCGGUCAGGGUGCUCCGUGCUUGCACGCGUGUGCAGAGGCAUGCACUUUUGCUUUCUGCAUGCGUGUGCACGGGCACAUGCGCACGUCACUGGCUGGCUGGCUGGAGGGUCUCAGGACAAGCCUGGAUAAACAAACUUUGUGUCUGCCCCAUCUGUUCACCAGCCCCGCGCUGAACCAAACAUAUUUUAGCAGAACAAGAGCAUUGUGAUGAAUUGCCAUCCAAUACCACAGCAUCAAAGAGCGCUUUCUUCGGGAAAACACGCAGAAUAAAUGUUGGUUUGGUUACUUGGUGAUCUGAUCUCUAAAUUGGCUCUGCGCUCGGCCUUUGAAGCCUUUAUUGUUGUAUCUUCAUGAGGUUCAAGAGUGAAUGUCAUGCAGAUACAGGUCUCAAAACCCCGGCGAUAAUGCUGGGUUGUUUGGUUGUGGAUGGUCAAAUACUAAUUGGAUAGGAAUUAUUUUCCAGCUCUAACUGGAAGUAUUCCAACCCCUUCCGCCCAAAAACCAAAUCCAGAACCUCUGAUAGCUGAAGGUCGCUCACCUCAUCUCCCGUGUGUCCGUUUGAACGUCCACAAGCCAAAGAUCUACUGGGCUUGGCGGGAGAGAGAAGUACUGCGUGUUUAUACAGACCGGGGCUCGCUGACCAUGCUGCACAAUGACCCCCCUAACCUCUUUUACUGUCCUCCAACCCCUCCUUACUGUCUUUAAAAGAGGCUGUAGCUUUACAUACUUUUCUGCUUCAUGUCUUAGUUUCUUAAAAUAUUAUAUCGCGCUGCAUUU